rnacentral:rRNA from 1 species
GCCAGCAGCCAUAUCACCCUGCAACUCACAACUGGCAACCCACUGAAGCUAAGUGGGUAUGAGCCUGGUCAGUACCUGGAUGGGAGAACUCCUGGGGAAAAACUAAGGUUGCUGCUGGAA